rnacentral:rRNA from 1 species
GUGGGGAAUUUUGCGCAAUGGGGGAAACCCUGACGCAGCAACGCCGCGUGAGUGAUGAAGGCCCUUGGGUCGUAAAGCUCUGACAGAGGGAAAGAAAUGUGGGUGGCUAAUAUCCAUUCCACUUGACGGUACCCUCAAAGGAAGCACCGGCUAACUCCGUGCCAGCAGCCGCGGUAAUACGGAGGGUGCGAGCGUUGUUCGGAUUUAUUGGGCGUAAAGCGCGUGUAGGCGGUUUUAUAAGUCUGAUGUGAAAGCCCCGGGCUCAACCUGGGAAGUGCAUUGGAUACUGUAAGACUUGAAUACGGGAGAGGGCAGUGGAAUUCCUGGUGUAGGAGUGAAAUCCGUAGAUAUCAGGAGGAACACCGGUGGCGAAGGCGGCUGCCUGGACCGAUAUUGACGCUGAGACGCGAAAGCGUGGGUAGCAAACAGGAUUAGAAACCCUAGUAGUCC